rnacentral:rRNA from 1 species
UACGUAGGGUGCGAGCGUUAAUCGGAAUUACUGGGCGUAAAGCGUGCGCAGGCGGUUCGUUGUGUCGGUGGUGAAAGCCCCGGGCUCAACCUGGGAAUGGCCAUGGAAACUGGCGAGCUAGAGUGUGGCAGAGGGGGGUGGAAUUCCGCGUGUAGCAGUGAAAUGCGUAGAGAUGCGGAGGAACACCGAUGGCGAAGGCAGCCCCCUGGGCUGACACUGACGCUCAGGCACGAAAGCGUGGGGAGCAAACAGG